rnacentral:rRNA from 1 species
AUGGCUUUUUUUAUUUCCCAAGAAAAGUAUAUCCAGGAUCUUCUUACUCGUGCGGCUCUUAGUGAUGAGUGCACUACUGAGACUCCUAUGGAGCUCAAUGUUCACCUUCGUGCUUCUGAUGGUGUGCCCUUGUCUGAUCCGACACGUUAUCGUCAUCUUGUUGGGAGUCUUGUGUAUCUUGCUGUCACUCGCCCGGAUAUCUCCUAUCCUGUCCAUAUUCUGAGUCAGUUUGUUUCUGCUCCCACUUCAGUGCACUAUAGUCACCUUCUUCGUGUUCUACGAUAUCUUCGUGGCACGAUCUCUCAUCGUCUCUUUUCCCCCGUUCCAGCUCGUUACAGCUCCAGGCCUAUUCGGAUGCUACGUGGACUAGUGAUCCUAUGGAUCGCCGUUCACUUUCUGCCUACUGUGUCUUUCUUGGUGGUUCCCUCAUUUCCUGGAAGACGAAGAAACAGACUGCAGUUUCUCGUUCGAGUGCAGAGGCCGAGUUGCGAGCUAUGGCUCUUCUAA